rnacentral:rRNA from 1 species
AACGAACGCUGGCGGCAUGCCUAACACAUGCAAGUCGAACGAGACCUUCGGGUCUAGUGGCGCACGGGUGCGUAACGCGUGGGAACCUGCCCUUAGGUUCGGAAUAACUCCCCGAAAGGGGUGCUAAUACCGGAUAAUGUCUUCGGACCAAAGAUUUAUCGCCUUUGGAUGGGCCCGCGUUGGAUUAGCUAGUUGGUAGGGUAAAAGCCUACCAAGGCGACGAUCCAUAGCUGGUCUGAGAGGAUGAUCAGCCACACUGGGACUGAGACACGGCCCAGACUCCUACGGGAGGCAGCAGUGGGGGAUAUUGGACAAUGGGCGAAAGCCUGAUCCAGCAAUGACGCGUGAGUGAUGAAGGCCUUAGGGUUGUAAAGCUCUUUUACCCGGGAUGAUAAUGACAGUACCGGGAGAAUAAGCUCCGGCUAACUCCGUG